rnacentral:tRNA from 1 species
ACCUGGAUGGCUCAGUCAGUUAAGCGUCUGACUUCGGCUCAGGUCAUGAUCUCACGGUUGGUGGGUUCGAGCCCCAUUUCAGGCU